GGGAAUUUUCCGCAAUGGGCGAAAGCCUGACGGAGCAAUGCCGCGUGGAGGUGGAAGGCCUACGGGUCGUCAACUUCUUUUCUCGGAGAAAGAAACAAUGACGGUAUCUGAGGAAUAAGCAUCGGCUAACUCUGUGCAG
rnacentral:rRNA from 1 species